GAUGAAGAACGUAGCGAAAUGCGAUACGUAAUGUGAAUUGCAGAAUUCAGUGAAUCAUCGAAUCUUUGAACGCAUAUUGCGCUCUUUGGUAUUCCGAAGAGCAUGCUUGUUUGAGUAUCAGUAAACACCUCAACCUCUUCUUGAUUUUUCAAAAGGAGGGUGGACUUGAGCUAUCCCAACAACCUUUACCGGUCGGCGGGCGGCUUGAAAUGCAGGUGCAGCUGGACUUUUAUCUGAGCUAAAAGCAUAUCUAUUUAGUCCUCGUCAAACAGGAUUAUUACUUUUGCUGCAGCUAACAUAAAGGAUAAUUGUCCUCUUUGCUGACUGAUGCAGGAUUUUACGACACUUUAUGUGUUGUUCAACUCGAUCUCAAAUCAAGUAAGACUACCCGCUGAACUUAGCAUAUCAAUAAGCGGAGGA
rnacentral:misc_RNA from 1 species